rnacentral:rRNA from 1 species
AGAGUUUGAUCAUGGCUCAGGAUGAACGCUGGCGGCGUGCUUAACACAUGCAAGUCGAGCGAGAAAUCUUCAAACAAUUCUUCGGAUGCGUUUGAAGAUGGAAAGCGGCGGACGGGUGAGUAACGCGUAGGCAACCUACCCUAUACAGAGGGAUAGCCUCGGGAAACCGGGAUUAAUACCUCAUAAUACUUUAGAGUCACAUGGCACUUUAGUCAAAGAUUUAUCGGUAUGGGAUGGGCCUGCGUCUGAUUAGCUAGUUGGUAAGGUAAAGGCUUACCAAGGCGACGAUCAGUAGCCGACCUGAGAGGGUGAACGGCCACACUGGAACUGAGACACGGUCCAGACUCCUACGGGAGGCAGCAGUGGGGAAUAUUGCACAAUGGGCGCAAGCCUGAUGCAGCAACGCCGCGUGAGCGAUGAAGGUCUUCGGGUCGUAAAGCUCUGUCCUAAGGGAAGAACAAAUGACGGUACCUUAGGAGGAAGCCCCGGCUAACUACGUGCCAGCAGCCGCGGUAAUACGUAGGGGGCAAGCGUUAUCCGGAAUUACUGGGCGUAAAGAGUUCGUAGGUGGAUUUGCAAGUCUUUGGUGAAAGGCUACGGCUUAACCGUAGUAAGCCUUGGAAACUGUAGAUCUUGAGUGCAGGAGAGGAAAGCNGGAAUUCCUAGUGUAGCGGUGAAAUGCGUAGAUAUUAGGAGGAACACCAGUGGCG